AGGAAUUGGCGGGGGAGCACCACAACGCGUGGAGCNUGCGGUUUAAUUGGAUUCAACGCCGGACAUCUCACCAGAGGCGACAGCUGUAUGAUAGCCAGGUUGAUGACUUUGCUUGACUAGCUGAGAGGAGGUGCAUGGCCGCCGUCAGCUCGUACCGUGAGGCGUCCUGUUAAGUCAGGCAACGAGCGAGACCCACGCCCUUAGUUACCAGCUUAUCCUUUUUUGGAUGAUGGGCACACUAAGGGGACCGCCUAUGAUAAAUAGGAGGAAGGAGUGGACGACAGUAGGUCCGUAUGCCCCGAAUCCUCUGGGCAACACGCGGGCUACAAUGGCUGAGACAAUGGGUUCCGACACCGAAAGGUGGAGGUAAUCCUCUAAACUUAGUCGUAGUUCGGAUUGAGGACUGUAACUCGUUCUCAUGAAGCUGGAAUGCGUAGUAAUCGCGUGUCACAAUCGCGCGGUGAAUACGUCCCUGCUCCUUGCACACACCGC
rnacentral:rRNA from 1 species